GAUGAACGCUGGCGGCGUGCCUAAUACAUGCGAGUCGAGCGAACGGACGAGAAGCUUGCUUCUCUGAUGUUAGCGGCGGACGGGUGAGUAACACGUGGAUAUCCUACCUAUAAGACUGGGAUAACUUCGGGAAACCGUAGCUAAUACCGGAUAAUAUUUUGAACCGCAUGGUUCAAAAGUGAAAGACGGUCUUGCUGUCACUUAUAGAUGGAUCCGCGCUGCAUUAGCUAGUUGGUAAGGUAACGGCUUACCAAGGCAACGAUGCAUAGCCGACCUGAGAGGGUGAUCGGCCACACUGGAACUGAGACACGGUCCAGACUCCUACGGGAGGCAGCAGUAGGGAAUCUUCCGCAAUGGGCGAAAGCCUGACGGAGCAACGCCGCGUGAGUGAUGAAGGUCUUCGGAUCGUAAAACUCUGUUAUUAGGGAAGAACAUAUGUGUAAGUAACUGUGCACAUCUUGACGGUACCUAAUCAGAAAGCCACGGCUAACUACGUG
rnacentral:rRNA from 1 species